UCCUGCCCUGCAGUGGUGCCCUUGAGCAAGGCACCAGGUCAUUUUGUGGGUGAAGUAUUCCUUUAACAUAGCACCCAUUAACAAGUAUUUGUUAUCACUUAGGACUCACAGUCUGCUCCUGCUGACAUCCCGACUGAGAGCAGCCUGGGAGCUUCUAGACCUGCGUCUCGAGUUCAUCUCGGUGGCUUGAGGGAUCAGACACACGGUGAGUCCUGUGGACCGUCACGCUGCGGGUCUCCUUACUCUCCCAGAGGCUUGGAGUCACCACAUCACAAACUCUGGACAUGUGACCCAUACCUGUAUCCCAGUCAGAAGGAAACUUCCAUGGAAGAGGAGGAGGAGGAGGAAGAGCAAGACAAGGAAAGGACACACAAACAGCUGUCUAAUAUGGAAGUAUCCAUAACCUCUAGCAAUGCUGUUCUUCUGUCUGACCCUCGAGACAUCUCUGAGGGUUUGGUAAAUCCCGCCUUUUCUCAGGAUGAUAGCCAACCAAGUUCUCAGUCAAGACCUUCAAGCCAAUGGGGGAGACCCGUGAAAUCUCCCCGGUGGGCGUGUCUGUCCAGAGACCGUCCCUACGGCUUCUGCAGGUCUCUGUCCUCCAGCGUGGAGAAUAUGACUUUCUCAGGUGCACCUCUGAGUCCAAUGAGGGGAUCCUUUCCUUCUCUUCACGAACCGAUGAACGAAGACACGCUGUCUGAUGAGAGCAGUUUCAGGGAGGACACAUCGCUACGAUGCAGCAGGAGCAGAGAAUGGUCCAAGUCCUCUGAUUUCACUCAAGUAUUAGACUCCAGAGGCAAAAACCAGAACAGGAAGACCGUGAAGAUACAAGAGAGCGGUCCAGACACUGUAAGAUGUUCACGGCAAUAUUGCAUGGAUCAUAAAACCCUGCUGAUUGUUUAGUUUUUUUAUUCUGUGACUCUUUACUUCUUGGCGAACAUAUCUCACCACGCAGCCCCAUAUGUCUGAUGCCUGCUGGAGAAGAGGCCGAAGAUUAAGAGGAGAAUCGACAUGUUGGUCGGCUUCAACCAGCCUCAGUCAGCUCAGUAAGCAUCCACAGUCCUAUUUAAAUCAAGCACAUAUUAGUAAGGCCUCUCUGAAUGUAUCAUGUAAUCAACGCAGGGUUUAAAUAAAGAGACAAGGAGUUACGCAGAUUUAUAUCUUAAAAAUAUCAAUAUUGUUUCAGAUUUUGAACCUAUGGAUUUGUUGCAGAAGCAAGUCUUCUCCCAUCAGGUAAAUCUGUGGCAACAUACUGCAGUAAUUGUGGAAGCACUAUAAGAUAUAUUGAGUGUAUAAUAUGUCAGUGAGGUCGGUCUGAUUACCUUUGCAUCGGCCUUCAGGAUGUGUGGAGCUCCACUCAUUCAGCCUGGAACAGCUGGGCCAGAUCCAUGAGCCACAGGUCAUCGUACGUCUGCCUUUCUGUCGUCCUGCCAUCACAC
ensembl:lncRNA